rnacentral:rRNA from 1 species
GACAGAGGUGCCGAGCGUUAGGCGGAAUCACUGGGCUUAAAGCGUGUGUAGGCGGGCCGUUAAGUGCCCCGUGAAAUCCCCCGGCUCAACCGGGGAACGGCGGGGCAUACUGGCGGCCUUGAGCCACUUAAGGGCAGACGGAACAAGCGGUGGAGCGGUGAAAUGCGUAGAUAUCGCUUGGAACGCCGAUGGCGAAGGCAGGUCUCUGGGCCACUACUGAUGCUGAGAAGCGAAAGCAUGGGGAGCGAACAGG